GGUUUGCGUGAGGGAUGGAAGCGAUAUCCUUUUUGUACCGAUUUUUAUCGGGACAAAAAGAUAUAGUGUACAGCCCGACAGCAU
rnacentral:sRNA from 1 species